rnacentral:rRNA from 1 species
UACGGAGGAUGCGAGCGUUAUCCGGAUUUAUUGGGUUUAAAGGGUGCGUAGGCGGAUCGUUAAGUCAGUGGUCAAAUUGAGGGGCUCAACCCCUUCCCGCCAUUGAAACUGGCGAUCUUGAGUGGAAGAGAAGUAUGCGGAAUGCGUGGUGUAGCGGUGAAAUGCAUAGAUAUCACGCAGAACCCCGAUUGCGAGGGCAGCAUGCCGGCUUCCUACUGACGCUGAAGCACGAAAGCGUGGGGAUCGAACAGG